GCCUGGGUGGCUCAGUGGGUUAAGCGUCUGACUUCAGCUCAGGUCAUGAUCUUGCAGUCCGUGAGUUCGAGCCCCAUGUCGGGCU
rnacentral:tRNA from 1 species